UACGAAGGGGGCUAGCGUUGCUCGGAAUCACUGGGCGUAAAGAGCGCGUAGGCGGCGUUUUAAGUCGGGGGUGAAAGCCUGUGGCUCAACCACAGAAUGGCCUUCGAUACUGGGACGCUUGAGUAUGGUAGAGGUUGGUGGAACUGCGAGUGUAGAGGUGAAAUUCGUAGAUAUUCGCAAGAACACCGGUGGCGAAGGCGGCCAACUGGACCAUUACUGACGCUCAGGCACGAAAGCGUGGGGAGCAAACAGG
rnacentral:rRNA from 1 species